UUGCAUUCAGCGUCUGAGAGGAUGAGAACCUCCGGGGGCAAGAGGUUCGACUCGAGCGGAGCGAGAGAACGUUGCGAUAGCAACGGCCCGCAGGGCGAGCCACGAUGUGGCGAGUUAUCCUCUAUCACCGACCA
rnacentral:sRNA from 1 species